rnacentral:rRNA from 1 species
UGACAAGUCGAGGGGCAGCAUUUACUUCGGUAAGAUGGCGACCGGCGCACGGGUGCGUAACGCGUAUGCAACCUGCCUUAUACAAAGGGAUAGCCCAUGGAAACGUGGAUUAAUACCUUAUGGUACUGUAAAACUGCAUAGUUUAACAGUUAAAACUUCGGUGGUAUAAGAUGGGCAUGCGUAGGAUUAGCUAGAUGGUGAGGUAACGGCUCACCAUGGCGACGAUCCUUAGGGGUUCUGAGAGGAUUAUCCCCCACACUGGUACUGAGACACGGACCAGACUCCUACGGGAGGCAGCAGUGAGGAAUAUUGGUCAAUGGACGAGAGUCUGAACCAGCCAUCCCGCGUGCAGGAUGACGGCCCUAUGGGUUGUAAACUGCUUUUCUACGCCAAGAAACCCACCUACGUGUAGGUGGUUGACGGUAGCGUAGGAAUAAGCAUCGGCUAACUCCGUGCCAGCAGCCGCGGUAAUACGGAGGAUGCAAGCGUUAUCCGGAUUCAUUGGGUUUAAAGGGUGCGCAGGCGGGCUUGUAAGUCAGUGGUGAAAUACUGCCGCUUAACGGUAGAACUGCCAUUGAUACUGCAAGUCUUGAAUAUGGUUGAGGUAGGCGGAAUGUGUCGUGUAGCGGUGAAAUGCAUAGAUAUGACACAGAACGCCAAUUGCGAAGGCAGCUUACUAAGCCAUUAUUGACGCUGAGGCACGAAAGCGUGGGGAGCGAACAGGAUUAGAUACCCUGGUAGUCCACGCCGUAACGAUGUUCACUCGCUGUCUGCGAUACAUGACAAGUCGUGACAAGUCGGCAUUAA